GAUGAAUUAUGAUCACGCAACACUCACUGAUUCCCGUGAGGAUCAAAAUCAUAUCGAGCUUUUUAACACUGAUGUCA
rnacentral:snoRNA from 1 species